AUUCGGCUGACGAGUUCCAAAAGGGACGAAACACGUGUCCGAAAU
rnacentral:hammerhead_ribozyme from 1 species